GAUGAAGAACGUAGCGAAAUGCGAUAAGUAAUGUGAAUUGCAGAAUUCAGUGAAUCAUCGAAUCUUUGAACGCACAUUGCGCCCGCUGGUAUUCCGGCGGGCAUGCCUGUUCGAGCGUCAUUACACCCCUCAAGCUCAGCUUGGUGUUGGGCCCCGCCGCCCCGGCGGGCCCUAAAGUCAGUGGCGGUGCCGUCCGGCUCCGAGCGUAGUAAUUCUUCUCGCUCUGGAGGUCCGGUCGUGUGCUCGCCAGCAACCCCCAAUUUGUUUCAGGUUGACCUCGGAUCAGGUAGGGAUACCCGCUGAACUUAAGCAUAUCAAUAAGCGGAGGA
rnacentral:misc_RNA from 1 species